rnacentral:rRNA from 1 species
UAGGGAAUUUUUCACAAUGGGCGAAAGCCUGAUGGAGCAAUGCCGCGUGAAUGAUGAAGGUCUUACAGAUUGUAAAAUUCUUUUAUUUGGGAAGAACGACUAUGAUAGGAAAUGAUCAUAGAGUGACUGUACCAUUUGAAUAAGUAUCGGCUAACUAUGUGCCAGCAGCCGCGGUAAUACAUAGGAUGCAAGCGUUAUCCGGAUUUACUGGGCGUAAAACGAGCGCGGGCGGAUUAGCAAGUUUGGUAUGAAAGGCUUUUGCUUAACGAAAGUUUGUAUCAAAAACUGCUAAUCUGGAGUGUAGUAGGGAGUUCUGGAAUUCCAUGUGGAGCGGUGGAAUGCGUAGAUAUAUGGAAGAACACCGGUGGCGAAGGCGAGAACUUAGGCUAUCACUGACGCU